UACGAAGGGGGCUAGCGUUGCUCGGAAUGACUGGGCGUAAAGGGCGCGUAGGCGGCUUUGGCAGUCAGGCGUGAAAUUCCCGGGCUCAACCUGGGGACUGCGCUUGCGACGCCAGAGCUGGAGUGCGGAAGAGGGUCGUGGAAUUCCCAGUGUAGAGGUGAAAUUCGUAGAUAUUGGGAAGAACACCGGUGGCGAAGGCGGCGACCUGGUCCGUGACUGACGCUGAGGCGCGAAAGCGUGGGGAGCAAACAGG
rnacentral:rRNA from 1 species